rnacentral:rRNA from 1 species
UACGUAGGCAGCAAGCGUUGUUCGGAGUUACUGGGCGUAAAGAGUGUGUAGGCGGUUCCCUAAGUCCGGUGUGAAAUCUCCCGGCUCAACUGGGAGGGUGCGCCGGAAACUGGGGGGCUUGAGUAUGGGAGAGGAAAGCGGAAUUCCUGGAGUAGCGGUGAAAUGCGUAGAUAUCAGGAGGAACACCUGCGGUGUAGACAGCUUUCUGGACCAUCACUAACGCUGAGACACGAAAGCGUGGGUAGCAAACAGG